GUGGGGAAUCUUGCGCAAUGGGCGAAAGCCUGACGCAGCCAUGCCGCGUGAAUGAUGAAGGUCUUAGGAUUGUAAAAUUCUUUCACCGGGGACGAUAAUGACGGUACCCGGAGAAGAAGCCCCGGCUAACUUCGUGCCAGAAGCCGCGGUAAUACGAAGGGGGCUAGCGUUGCUCGGAAUUACUGGGCGUAAAGGGCGCGUAGGCGGACAGUUUAGUCAGAGGUGAAAGCCCAGGGCUCAACCUUGGAAUUGCCUUUGAUACUGGCUGUCUUGAGUUUGGGAGAGGUGAGUGGAACUCCGAGUGUAGAGGUGAAAUUCGUAGAUAUUCGGAAGAACACCAGUGGCGAAGGCGACUCACUGGCCCAAUACUGACGCUGAGGCGCGAAAGCGUGGGGAGCAAACAGGAUUAGAUACCCGAGUAGUCC
rnacentral:rRNA from 1 species